rnacentral:precursor_RNA from 10 species
CUGAAAAAACUGUCUAUUGUGCUCCUGCAUUUUGGCCGAGACCGUCACAUAAAGUCAAGUGAUGGGUCUUGUCAAAACGCAGGUGCGCAACAGACAGUUUAUUCA